rnacentral:misc_RNA from 1 species
AUGGGUAUGUUACCAUGUUUCUGCAUUCUCAUUAUCUCUAUUUUUUAUGCUUAAAAGCUGUUUUAACUUCCAUGGUCUGCUUAGAACAAUUUCAUACUUGUUUGAAGGUUACUGUAGCAAUAAAUGAGGCUUCGCAAUCUUCUUUUACAUUUGGGUUUUGGUAUGUUUUAUGUUGCACUCAGAAAUGGCCUUCAUUGAGGUUUGAAGAAUACUAAAGGUUUGUUUGUAUAUAGUUGGUUCAAGAAUUUUAACUUGAAAGGAACCUACUUUUAGGGGGUUAACAUAUUAAUGAAAGUGCUUAAAGUUUGUAUGUGCUCAAAAGUGAGGAUGGAAAUUGCUACAACCGUGGAAGCUUGCCUCAAUUCAUUUAAUAACAUGUUCUACUGUUUGGUCGGUACUCAGUAGGUUAAUUGAAACGGUUGACCAGUCUGGGCUCUUGGCCCUGAUAAGAAAUUCAGUUUUAUAAUACAAAUUUCUGUGCAAUGUUUUAAACUUUCUCACUAUUUUUUGUUUGUGAUGUAGGAAGAGGUUGCUCGUGAAGCAGA